AGUGAACGCUGGCGGCAGGCCUAACACAUGCCAGUCGAACGGAAGCACGGUGAUUGCUUGUGGUUACGGGGGGGGAGGGGCGGGUGGGGCAGGGGAAUAUCCGAGUCUGCGGUUUCGAAGGGCAGGACGUAGGGGAAAUUACGGCAAUACGGCAGACGGCGUACGGGGGGGAGCAUGGGACCUUCCGAUCUUGCGCGAGUGAAGGUCGGAUUAGCUAGUUGGUGGGGUAAAGGGCUACCAAGGCGACGAUCCGUAGCUGGUCUGAGAGGAUGAUCAGCCACACUGGAACUGAGACACGGUCCAGACUCCUACGGGAGGCAGCAGUGGGGAAUAUUGGACAAUGGGCGAAAGCCUGAUCCAGCCAUGCCGCGUGGGUGAAGAAGGUCUUCGGGUUGUAAAGCCCUUUAAGUUGGGAAGAAACGCAGUAGGUUAAUACCUUGCUGUUCUGACGGUACCAACAGAAUAAGCACCGGCUAACUUCGUG
rnacentral:rRNA from 1 species